rnacentral:tRNA from 1 species
GGCCCUGUCGUCUAAUGGUUAGGACGCGAGAUUUUCACCCUCGCAAUCGGAGUUCAAUUCUCCGCAGGGUCA